AAGUAAUUUAUUAAACAAAAUUAUUCGCCGGAGAACUACUAGCAACAGCUUAAAACUCAAAGGACUUGGCGGUGCUUUAAACCCCCCUAGAGGAGCCUGUUCUAUAAUCGAUAAACCCCGAUAGACCUCACCACCUCUUGCUAAUCCAGUCUAUAUACCGCCAUCUUCAGCUAACCCUUAAAAGGAGUAAAAGUAAGCACAAUCAUCCCACAUAAAAAAGUUAGGUCAAGGUGUAACCCAUGGGGUGGGAAGAAAUGGGCUACAUUUUCUAUUCAAGAACAACCUACGAAAGUUUUUAUGAAACUAAAAACUAAAGGUGGAUUUAGCAGUAAACCAAGAAUAGAGAG
rnacentral:rRNA from 1 species